CGGACCAUUUAAGCUAAAAAAUUUACUUUUAAACAGGUAUGUAAAAGGGACCAUUUUUCAAUGAAAUGAUAGGGAAAAUAGAGGUGUUGACAAAUUUUUAUCGGAAUUUCAAAAAAACGUUCUAUGACACUUGGUCCAAAACUGUAAUAUAAAAAGCUGAACUAUAACUUCAAAGAAUGAGCAAAUAAAAAACAGAGGUCAC
rnacentral:lncRNA from 1 species